CAAACAAGUAGGAGGUGAUGCGGCUACAGGAGGAGACCUAGUCUGGAGAGAGGGGUGGGACGUGGCAGUGAGAGGAGGCGUGGUCCGAGUGUUGUCCUAGCAACAGGAGUGAGCUGGACCACAGAACAGCUGCUUGUCUUCUGCCCAUGACCAGGAUUGACGCGAAGCGACACACUGUGGACCACAGUCCAUCCUUGCUGAAUGUGGACAUUUUCUCCAGAGGACACAGGUUACUAAAUGAAACUUUUGGUGCCAGGUAUGGGAACUCUCUUCCUGAGUUACUGGUCAGAAAGGCUGCAGACGGUCCCAGAACAACAAAGUCUAUUUCUACUGUUUUUCACUUCACACCAUAGCUAUAUGUUGAGAUACCAAGUGGUGACGACCUACACACCUUUGUUGUAGGACAAAGAGAAAUGGCUGGAACCGACCCCCAAACUUCUCUGCUGGCCAGCUUCCCCAGUGCCAGAAGGUGUAAAUGCAGGCACCUGCGGGACACAAGUCUUUGACGAUAUCGCUAAGUGGUGAACUGUGAAUGCUGCUAUACCAACCUGCCAGGGAAGACGUUCCCAGUGGGCAAUGGUGGCAUGAAGGUUAUGGGAGCAACCAAACACUUUCUGAUGGGAUCUGAGGCCUGUUCCAAAGUGUGUGUGUGUGUGGGGGGGGUAGUUCACACCUGAUACUUGGAGCCUGGUCAAAGGCCCACGGCUGGGGAGAUCAUACACCCUGGGGGGUAGGGAACCCACUACUGUUGUUUUGCUAAAAGGACACAUUAUCUAACUACCUUCUAAAUAGUUAUGCUUAUAAUCCAUAAAUUAGUAUGGCUUUUAACCUCGACCAGAGAAGCUUUGGAAGUGGGAAGCAGUUAAUGCAGAGACCCAUAACUGGUUCAAGUGCUAAGAAUAAAUAAAUGUAGAGUUCUCUGACAAAAUUGGGACAUUGAUAUCAACACCCCACCCCCAAAGCUCAAGGAACAUUAUGGAAGAGUGGAUAGGAAGAAUGUAAGAGCCAAAGCACUGUGAGAUGCUCUCUGUUGGACACGACAUGAUCAUAGCACUCAUGAACUCAACAGUUGUGGUUUCCUGGACAAGGUCAUUCCAAUAAGAGGAGAGAUACUGCAGGCGAGGUACGUUAAGAUCAUGAUGGGAAGACGUGCAGAGAUGACCGGCCAUACUAGUGGAAGCCCAUGAACUGUGGUCUGGUGGCUGUGGAGCCCCCAUAGGACUGGACGAGGCCCUCUGGAUACAGAAGACGGUUGUUUGGCUCGAACUGUUUGGGGGGCACCCAGGCAGGGGGAUCGGGAUCUGUCCCUGGUCUAUGGGCAGGCUUCUGGAAUCCGGUGCCUGUGAUGUGAUGCCUUGCACAGCCUUGGUGCAGUGGGAAGGGGCUUGGACCUGCCUAGUCUCAGUGUGCUGGGCUCUGCUGACUCCCCAUGGGAGACCUCGA